UACAGAGGUCCCAAGCGUUGUUCGGAUUCACUGGGCGUAAAGGGUGCGUAGGCGGUCGGGUAAGUCUGAUGUGAAAUCCCGGGGCUCAACCCCGGGCCUGCAGUGGAUACGGGCUGGCUAGAGGCAGGCAGGGGAGAACGGAAUUCCUGGUGUAGCGGUGAAAUGCGCAGAUAUCAGGAGGAACACCGGUGGCGAAGGCGGGUCUCUGGGCCGAUAUUGACGCUGAGGAGCGAAAGCGUGGGGAGCGAACAGG
rnacentral:rRNA from 1 species